AGCGAACGCUGGCGGCAGGCUUAACACAUGCAAGUCGAGCGGGCAUAGCAAUAUGUCAGCGGCAGACGGUUGAGUAACGCGUGGGAACGUACCUUUUGGUUCGGAACAACACAGGGAAACUUGUGCUAAUACCGGAUAAGCCCUUACGGGGAAAGAUUUAUCGCCGAAAGAUCGGCCCGCUUCUGUUUAGCUAGUUGUUGAGGUAAUGGCUCACCAAGGCGACGAUCAGUAGCUGGUCUGAGAGGAUGAUAAGCCACAUUGGGACUGAGACACGGCCCAAACUCCUACGGGAGGCAGCAGUGGGGAAUAUUGGAAAAGGGGCGGAAGCCUGAACCAGCCAGGCCGCGUGAGUGAUGAAGGCAGUAGGGUUGUAAAGCUCUUUUGUGCGGGAAGAUAAUGACGGUACCGAAAGAAUAAGCCCCGGCUAACUUCGUG
rnacentral:rRNA from 1 species